GCCUGGGUGGCUCAGUUGGUUGAGCGUCUGACUUCAGCUCAGGUCACCAUCUCACAGUUCGUGAGUUUGAGCCCCGCGCCGGGCU
rfam:Felis catus isolate Cinnamon breed Abyssinian chromosome C2, whole genome shotgun sequence.